rnacentral:rRNA from 1 species
GCCAGACUCCUACGGGAGGCAGCAGUGGGGAAUAUUGCACAAUGGGGGAAACCCUGAUGCAGCGACGCCGCGUGAGCGAUGAAGUAUUUCGGUAUGUAAAGCUCUAUCAGCAGGGAAGAAGAUGACGGUACCUGACUAAGAAGCCCCGGCUAACUACGUGCCAGCAGCCGCGGUAAUACGUAGGGGGCAAGCGUUAUCCGGAUUUACUGGGUGUAAAGGGAGCGUAGACGGCAUGGCAAGUCAGAUGUGAAAUCCGGGGGCUCAACCCCCGAACUGCAUUUGAAACUGUUGGUCUUGAGUAUCGGAGAGGCAGGCGGAAUUCCUAGUGUAGCGGUGAAAUGCGUAGAUAUUAGGAGGAACACCAGUGGCGAAGGCGGCCUGCUGGACGACAACUGACGGUGAGGCGCGAAAGCGUGGGGAGCAAACAGGAUUAGAUACCCCUGUAC